rnacentral:rRNA from 1 species
UUGACCUCAAAUCAGGUAGGACUACCCGCUGAACUUAAGCAUAUCAAUAAGCGGAGGAAAAGAAACUAACAAGGAUUCCCCUAGUAACUGCGAGUGAAGCGGGAAAAGCUCAAAUUUAAAAUCUGGCGGUCUUGCGGCCGUCCGAGUUGUAAUCUGGAGAAGCGUCUAUCCGCGUCGGACCGUGUACAAGUCUUCUGGAAGGGAGCGUCAUAGAGGGUGAGAAUCCCGUCUUUGACACGGACUACCGAUGCUUUUGUG